rnacentral:lncRNA from 1 species
CCGCGGACGGACGGACGGAGGGACGGACGGACGGAGGGACGGACAGACGGCCCGCUGCCGCUCGGGCCCGGCCGAAGCGCUCCCCUCUGCUCGGAGGCCCGGGAGCGCGUUGCAGCGGGUGAAGGUGGCUCCGGAGAGCAGCGGCCGAGGCAUCCAACCCCGAACCAACGUAACCGCGAAGGCACGGGAGCUCAUUUUGCUUACAAACCUUGUUUCAAAUGGAGAGUCCCUUAUUUAUCUACGUUUCCUUCGGGAGCAACCCCAAACCCUAGCGAACAGUUUUACAAAGCGUGUUUCUCCUGCCGGUGAAACUACGCUGAUAACAAUUAUCUGAAGGAGCUAUUCUGUGCUGAUCCGCCUCGUGCUGGGAGCGCGCUGAUGGCGUGUGCGUAUGAAAAUGGAAACUUCCCGAGACGUUCAGACUCUGAAACUCUGAGUCUGCAGAAUUCCCUACCAAUGUGUUUUUACAGUUGUUGAAAUAAAAUCUUCAUUGCUGUAAUUAGUUAAUAUUUGUAAAGCCUGUAAGAUUCCAGAAUAAAUGGCUGAAAGAAAUUUGCAUGGCUAUUAGAUAAAUGUGUUAGUAAUAAUGAAGAUGGCUGGUGAGAAGACAUCACUCCUAAUGAUGUAUGAU